UACGUAGGGCGCAAGCGUUGUCCGGAAUUAUUGGGCGUAAAGCGAGCGCAGGCGGUUUAAUAAGUCUGAAGUUAAAGGCAGUGGCUUAACCAUUGUUCGCUUUGGAAACUGUUAGACUUGAGUGCAGAAGGGGAGAGUGGAAUUCCAUGUGUAGCGGUGAAAUGCGUAGAUAUAUGGAGGAACACCGGUGGCGAAAGCGGCUCUCUGGUCUGUAACUGACGCUGAGGCUCGAAAGCGUGGGGAGCAAACAGG
rnacentral:rRNA from 1 species